rnacentral:rRNA from 1 species
GAUGAACGCUGGCGGCGUGCCUAAUACAUGCAAGUCGAGCGAACGGACGAGAAGCUUGCUUCUCUGAUGUUAGCGGCGGACGGGUGAGUAACACGUGGAUAACCUCCCUAUCAGACUGGGAUAACUUCGGGAAACCGGAGCUAAUACCGGAUGAUAUUUUGAACCGCAUGGUUCAAAAGUGUAAGACGGUCUUGCUGUCACUUAUAGAUGGUUCCGCGCUGCAUUAGCUAGUUGGUAAGGUAACGGCUUACCAAGGCAACGAUGCAUAGCCGACCUGAGAGAGUGAUCGGCCACACUGGGACUGAGACACGGUCCAGACUCCUACGGGAGGCAGCAGUAGGGAAUCUUCCGCAAUGGGCGAAAGCCUGACGGAGCAACGCCGCGUGAGUGAUGAGGGUCUUCGGAUCGUAAAACUCUGUUAUGAGGGAAGAACAGAUGUGUAAGUAACUGUGCACGUCUUGACGGUACCUAAUCAGAAAGCCACGGCUAACUACGUG